rnacentral:misc_RNA from 1 species
GAUGAAGAACGCAGCGAAAUGCGAAAGUUAAUGCGAAUUGCAGAAUUCAGUGAAUCAUCGAAUCUUUGAACGCACAUUGCGCCCCUUGGUAUUCCGAGGGGCAUGCCUGUUCGAGCGUCAUUAUAACCCCUCAAGCUCAGCUUGGUGUUGGGGCCUGCUGCACUGGCAGCCCUUAAAAUCAGUGGCGGCGCCAUCUGGCUCUAAGCGUAGUAAUUCUUCUCGCUAUGGAGUCCUGGUGGAUGCUUGCCAUCAACCCCCAAUUUUUCUAUGGUUGACCUCGGAUCAGGUAGGGAUACCCGCUGAACUUAAGCAUAUCAAUAAGCGGAGGA